rnacentral:rRNA from 1 species
GACGAACGCGGGCGGCGUGCCUAAUACAUGCAAGUAGAACGCUGAAGGAGGAGCUUGCUCUUCUGGAUGAGUUGCGAACGGGUGAGUAACGCGUAGGUAACCUGCCUGGUAGCGGGGGAUAACUAUUGGAAACGAUAGCUAAUACCGCAUAAUAGUAGAUGUUGCAUGACAUUUACUUAAAAGGUGCAAUUGCAUCACUACCAGAUGGACCUGCGUUGUAUUAGCUAGUUGGUGGGGUAACGGCUCACCAAGGCGACGAUACAUAGCCGACCUGAGAGGGUGAUCGGCCACACUGGGACUGAGACACGGCCCAGACUCCUACGGGAGGCAGCAGUAGGGAAUCUUCGGCAAUGGACGAAAGUCUGACCGAGCAACGCCGCGUGAGUGAAGAAGGUUUUCGGAUCGUAAAGCUCUGUUGUAAGAGAAGAACGAGUGUGAGAGUGGAAAGUUCACACUGUGACGGUAUCUUACCAGAAAGGGACGGCUAACUACGUGCCAGCAGCCGCGGUAAUACGUAGGUCCCGAGCGUUGUCCGGAUUUAUUGGGCGUAAAGCGAGCGCAGGCGGUUAGAUAAGUCUGAAGUUAAAGGCUGUGGCUUAACCAUAGUACGCUUUGGAAACUGUUUAACUUGAGUGCAAGAGGGGAGAGUGGAAUUCCAUGUGUAGCGGUGAAAUGCGUAGAUAUAUGGAGGAACACCGGUGGCGAAAGCGGCUCUCUGGCUUGUAACUGACGCUGAGGCUCGAAAGCGUGGGGAGCAAACAGG